GGACUACUGGGGUAUCUAAUCCCGUUUGCUCCCCUGGCUUUCGCGCCUCAGCGUCAGAAGAGGUCCAGCAGCUCGCUUUCGCCACCGGCGUUCCUUCCGAUAUCAACGCAUUUCACCGCUCCACCGGAAGUUCCAGCUGCCCCUACCUCGCUCUAGACCCCCAGUAUCCAGGGCUAUUUUCCGGUUGAGCCGAAAGAUUUCACCCCGAACUUGGGAACCCGCCUACGCGCCCUUUAAGCCCAGUGAUUCCGAACAACGUUCGCACGGUUCGUCUUACCGCGGCUGCUGGCAC
rnacentral:rRNA from 1 species